rnacentral:rRNA from 1 species
UCCGAAGGGGGCUAGCGUUGUUCGGAUUUACUGGGCGUAAAGCGCAUGUAGGCGGGCCGAUAAGUUGGGGGUGAAAUCCCGGAGCUCAACUCCGGAACUGCCUCCAAAACUGUCGGCCUGGAGCAGAUGAGAGGCGAGUGGAAUUCCGAGUGUAGAGGUGAAAUUCGUAGAUAUUCGGAGGAACACCAGUGGCGAAGGCGACUCGCUGGCAUCUUGCUGACGCUGAGAUGCGAAAGCGUGGGGAGAAAACAGG